UACGUAGGGUGCAAGCGUUAUCCGGAAUUAUUGGGCGUAAAGAGCUCGUAGGCGGUUUGUCGCGUCUGCUGUGAAAACCGGAGGCUCAACCUCCGGCCUGCAGUGGGUACGGGCAAACUAGAGUGCGGUAGGGGAGAUUGGAAUUCCUGGUGUAGCGGUGGAAUGCGCAGAUAUCAGGAGGAACACCGAUGGCGAAGGCGGAUCUCUGGGCCGUAACUGACGCUGAGGAGCGAAAGCGUGGGGAGCGAACAGG
rnacentral:rRNA from 1 species